rnacentral:rRNA from 1 species
UACGUAGGGUGCAAGCGUUGUCCGGAAUUAUUGGGCGUAAAGAGCUCGUAGGCGGUCUGUCGCGUCGGAUGUGAAAACCCAGGGCUCAACCCUGGGCCUGCAUUCGAUACGGGCAGACUAGAGUUCGGUAGGGGAGACUGGAAUUCCUGGUGUAGCGGUGAAAUGCGCAGAUAUCAGGAGGAACACCGGUGGCGAAGGCGGUUCUCUGGGCCUGACCUGACGCUGAGGAGCGAAAGCGUGGGGAGCGAACAGG